rnacentral:misc_RNA from 1 species
CUGUGAGAUUACAUAUGCAUAUAGUGUUAAUGUUAUAAGAGUGUAGUAUCAACUCACAAAGUUAUCAGGUUAAAUAGCUUUAUCAACUAAUAAAAAUGUUAUUGCAUCACUAAUGUUAUACUGUAGCCCCGCCACGAUAUCCAGCAAAAAUUAUUUUGCUGAGUAUCGUAGUAAAAGUUAAGAUAUAAUGUUAAGAAUUUUUUUGAGUCGUGCAACAACAUUAACAGCAAACUAUAAUACAAAUCUAUCUUUUUAAAAGUUUGUAU